UCCUGGCUCAGGAUGAACGCUAGCUACAGGCUUAACACAUGCAAGUCGAGGGGAAACGACAUCGAAAGCUUGCUUUUGAUGGGCGUCGACCGGCGCACGGGUGAGUAACGCGUAUCCAACCUGCCCACCACUUGGGGAUAACCUUGCGAAAGUAAGACUAAUACCCAAUGACGUCUCUAGAAGACAUCUGAAAGAGAUUAAAGAUUUAUCGGUGAUGGAUGGGGAUGCGUCUGAUUAGCUUGUUGGCGGGGUAACGGCCCGCCAAGGCGACGAUCAGUAGGGGUUCUGAGAGGAAGGUCCCCCACAUUGGAACUGAGACACGGUCCAAACUCCUACGGGAGGCAGCAGUGAGGAAUAUUGGUCAAUGGACGAGAGUCUGAACCAGCCAAGUAGCGUGCAGGAUGACGGCCCUAUGGGUUGUAAACUGCUUUUAUAAGGGAAUAAAGUGAGUCUCGUGAGACUUUUUGCAUGUACCUUAUGAAUAAGGACCGGCUAAUUCCGUGCCAGCAGCCGCGGUAAUACGGAAGGUCCGGGCGUUAUCCGGAUUUAUUGGGUUUAAAGGGAGCGUAGGCCGGAGAUUAAGCGUGUUGUGAAAUGUAGACGCUCAACGUCUGCACUGCAGCGCGAACUGGUUUCCUUGAGUACGCACAAAGUGGGCGGAAUUCGUGGUGUAGCGGUGAAAUGCUUAGAUAUCACGAAGAACUCCGAUUGCGAAGGCAGCUCACUGGAGCGCAACUGACGCUGAAGCUCGAAAGUGCGGGUAUCGAACAGGAUUAGAUACCCUGGUAGUCCGCACGGUAAACGAUGGAUGCCCGCUGUUGGUCUGAAUAGGUCAGCGGCCAAGCGAAAGCAUUAAGCAUCCCACCUGGGGAGUACGCCGGCAA
rnacentral:rRNA from 1 species